ensembl:lncRNA
GUCCAGGGAGUUCAUUUGUUUUUCACCAUAGAUAAAGUUGUUUGUUCAUUUGUUUAGGUCGUAGCUCAAGGAGAGUUGUAUGUCCUCUCUCUCUCUGCGUUUUCAGGCUGGAAUCAUUGACAGCAGCUAGAGUCUCAGGACAUGAAUGUCCACUGAAGCGAAUGUCUUGGAGGGGUUGGUAGAACGUUGUUUUGUUGAUGAAGAGAAGAAUAAUGUCUGUAUGUGGGAUGACGGGACCAGGGCUUGGUCUGUCUGUGUUCCUGUUGGCUCUGCUUCAUCUUCAAUGCUCAGCCCUGAACAACUACACUACGCUCCCAAAUAACGUAUCAGUGGCUGUUGGCAAGCCUGCUGCCUUUCAGUGUGGUGUGUCCCCUCCUCCUAGACAACUCAACUUCACUCUCUAUGGUAGCCAUAGAAACAUAACCCUCAUCUGCCCAGGAGACCACACUGAGUAUCUGGCUGCCCAGUCAAUAAAAGGGUACUGUGAUAACACAGGUAAGGAGCUCUUUGCAAUAUGGCUUAUCAGUGGGACAUCCCGCUCUGACAACCACACACGUGUGGUAUGUGAGAGCUCAGGACGACCACUAGUGGAUGGAUACCUCUGGGUGUACGGGGGGAAAGAUCGUGAGGAUGACGUCACCACAAUGGUGACAAAGGAUUAAACACACACCUUGCAAUACUGUUGGAUUUACUUAUUCAACUUCUUAAAGGUGGCACUUUUGUUUUUUUUUGCAUAUGCAGAUUUUGAUUGUAAUUUCUAUUUUGUUUUACUGUUCUAUUAUUUGCUUAUCUAGCAGUAUGCAGUAUCUGAUACUGGCAUCAAUUUCCUGUGUUUUUAUCUUAUUAAAUGUAGCUAAACAUAGGAAAUUAAACAAAAUGUUGCAUUUUGAAAACUUCUUACAAAAGUCCCAUAUAUCAUAUUCUCACCCAUAAAAUUUUAGAUUUGUUUUGCCUUGGUUUGUUCAGUCGCAGUUCUACUAUUUGUCCAACAGAGAGCAGCCAUGACAGUACAGAAACUGAAGUUCAAUUAUGCUGGGAUACUACUAAAGCGUUUUUAAUAAUGUACUAUAAUUGUGCGUCUCUGACUUUUCCUCUACUCCGGAAUACUGAAGUUUAUGUUAAUUUUUUAUACUGCGCUUUAUAGCUCCAUUAAUUGUUUUACAGUUAUGCUGGCAGCCAGCUAACACCUGUUUUCACUGCAUAAACAAUAGAGAGCAGGACGUCUGAGUAGCUGUCUAAAGUGUUCCAGUGGAGGAUCAGUAGAGGUGGUGCGAUGUUGACUCAGCUGGCCUGCUAUGCUCUGGCAUGACUCUGACACGGACACAACUCACAUCACUUCAAAUCCCACAAUAUGCAUUGCUAAUUUGUUUAGAAUUACAUACAUUCUUUGAGAUGUAUUUAUAUUUUUAUGCAUGCUCCCCAUCUUCAGAGUGGCUUGUCAGAGGAUAUGGUCAAAUGCUCAAAGGCCCUUAGAUGGUUUGUUUAGUGACAAAUAUGCCUCCUAACAAGUAAGAGUACUGUACGUUUUGAGUGUUCCAGCACGAGCGUGCUUGUGUCAGUGCAUGCAGGCAUACUUACAUACCACACUUUUGUUUAAGUCUAAGCUAUGCACCGGAGUUGUGUCAGUGCAUGCAGGCAUACUUACAUACCAUACUUUUGUUUAAGUCUAAGCUAUGCACCGGAGUUGUGUCAGUGCAUGCAGGCAUACUUACAUACCAUACUUUUGUUUAAGUCUAAGCUAUGCACCGGAGUUGUGUCAGUGCAUGCAGGCAUACUUACAUACCACACUUUUGUUUAAGUCUAAGCUAUGCACCGGAGUUGUGUCAGUGCAUGCAGGCAUACUUACAUACCACACUUUUGUUUAAGUCUAAGCUAUGCACCGGAGUUGUGUCAGUGCAUGCAGGCAUACUUACAUACCACACUUUUGUUUAAGUCUAAGCUAUGCACCGGAGCUGUGUCAGUGAUGAUGCAUUCAUAUUAUAUUAAUACAGUGUGUUCCAUUUGUAUUGGGGCAGUGAAACUUGUUGUUUUGGCUCUGUACACUUUGGAUUUAAAAUUAUUCAAUGACUAUGAUGUUAAAGUGCUGACUGUCAGCUUUAAUUUGAGGUUAUUUUCAUCCAUAUCGGGUGAACCGUUUAGAAAUGACAGCACUUUUUGUAAAUAGUCCCCCCAUUUGGACAAAUGCACUUAUGUGUAUUAAAGUAGUAGAAAGUUAAGUAUUUGGUCCCAUAUUCAUCGCACGCAAUGACUACAUCAAGCUUGUGACUGCAAAUUUGUUGAAUGCAUUUGUUGUUUGUUUUGGUUGUGUUUCAGAUUAUAUUGUGCCCAAUAUAAAUGAAUGGUCAAUAAUGUAUCGUGUCAUUUUGGAGUCACUUUAAUUGUAAAAUAAGAAUAAAAUAUGUUUCUAAACAUUUCUGCAUUAAUGUGGAUGCUACCAUGAUUACGGAUAAUCCUGAAUGAAUCGUGAAUAAUGAUGAAUGAGAAAGUUACAGACACAAUUCAUUAUUUACCAUUCCUAUGUAUUGGGCACAAAAUAAUCUGAAACACAACCAAAACAAACAGCAAAUGCAUUCAAUAAAUGUGUAGAGUCACAAGCUUGAUGUGGUCAUUGUGUGCGAUGACUAUGGGACCAAAUACUUAACUUUUUACUACUUUCAUACACAUACAAGUACAUUUGUCGUAAUACUUUUGGUGCCUUAAAAUGGGGGAACUAUGUAGAAAAAGUGCUGUAAUUUCUAAAUGGUUCACCCGAUUUGGAUAAAAAUAUCCUCAAAUUAAAUAUGACACUCUGCACGUCAACCUCACAGUCAUGAUAUAAUUUAAAAUCCAAAGUGCUGGGGUACAGAGCCAAAACAAACCAAAAAUAUGUCACUGUCUCAAUACUAUUUUAAAGAGAUGUUGUGCAAAGAAGAGAGCAGGGUUUUGUGGAGGGAAUGUCUUAUGUGUGUGUUGUACCUGUGUGUCAGCUUUACCCUUUGGAUAGCCCACCCUGACUGUCUCUUGUGUGAGUCUACGACAACCCUUUCCCUGUGGCCACUGGUUCUGUAGACUAUGUAGC